rnacentral:rRNA from 1 species
AGGACGAACGCUGGCGGCGUGCUUAACACAUGCAAGUCGAGCGAGGCCCUUCCUUCGGGAAGGUGCCCUAGCGGCGAACGGGUGAGUAACACGUGGGCAACCUGCCCCUAGCACUGGGAUAAGCCCGGGAAACCGGGUCUAAUACCGGAUAUGACCUUCGAGGGCAUCCUUGAAGGUGUAAAGGAUUCUGGCUAGGGAUGGGCCCGCGGCCUAUCAGCUUGUUGGUGGGGUAAUGGCCUACCAAGGCGACGACGGGUAGCCGGCCUGAGAGGGCGACCGGCCACACUGGGACUGAGACACGGCCCAGACUCCUACGGGAGGCAGCAGUGGGGAAUCUUGCACAAUGGGCGAAAGCCUGAUGCAGCGACGCCGCGUGAGGGAUGACUGCCUUCGGGUUGUAAACCUCUUCAGCAGGGACGAAGCGAAGUGACGGUACCUGCAGAAGAAGCACCGGCCAACUACGUGCCAGCAGCCGC